CAUAGGUUAAUGAGGCGAACCGGGGGAACUGAAACAUCUAAGUACCCCGAGGAAAAGAAAUCAACCGAGAUUCCCCCAGUAGCGGCGAGCGAACGGGGAGCAGCCCAGAGCCUGAAUCAGUGUGUGUGUUAGUGGAAGCGUCUGGAAAGGCGCGCGAUACAGGGUGACAGCCCCGUACACAAAAAUGCACAUGCUGUGAGCUCGAUGAGUAGGGCGGGACACGUGGUAUCCUGUCUGAAUAUGGGGGGACCAUCCUCCAAGGCUAAAUACUCCUGACUGACCGAUAGUGAACCAGUACCGUGAGGGAAAGGCGAAAAGAACCCCGGCGAGGGGAGUGAAAAAGAACCUGAAACCGU
rnacentral:rRNA from 1 species